AUUGAACGCUGGCGGCAGGCUUAACACAUGCAAGUCGAGCGGAGAUGAGGUGCUUGCACCUUAUCUUAGCGGCGGACGGGUGAGUAAUGCUUAGGAAUCUGCCUAUUAGUGGGGGACAACAUUCCGAAAGGAAUGCUAAUACCGCAUACGUCCUACGGGAGAAAGCAGGGGAUCUUCGGACCUUGCGCUAAUAGAUGAGCCUAAGUCGGAUUAGCUAGUUGGUGGGGUAAAGGCCUACCAAGGCGACGAUCUGUAGCGGGUCUGAGAGGAUGAGCCGCCACACUGGGAAUGAGACACGGCCCAGACUCCUACGGGAGGCAGCAGUGGGGAAUAUUGGACAAUGGGGGGAACCCUGAUCCAGCCAUGCCGCGUGUGAAGAAGGCCUUAUGGUUGUAAAGCACUUUAAGCGAGGAGGAGGCUACUGAGACUAAUACUCUUGGAUGGUGGACGUUACUCGCAGAAUAAGCACCGGCUCACUCUGUGCCAGCCGCCGCCGUAACAC
rnacentral:rRNA from 1 species